AGUAGUGUCGCUGUUUAGUAUAAAAGCAGCGGAAACAGAACACCAUUGGUAUUUACAGAACCAACUUUGUCUUCGCUGGGCUAAGUCGCAAGAGAAGCUCGGAAACCAACAUUAACAAUGUCAGUGACUCUUCGUCUCGCCGUCUUCGCUCUGUGCGUGGCUAUCGCCGCAUGCGCAAUUCGCUGUCCAGAAGAUUUCUGCAGCACUGUAGAUUGCGUUGUUGCUGCCGGAGAAAACGCCCCGCCCUGCACUGCCAACCAGCGCCUCAACGAACACGGGACAUGGUGUGGUUGCUGUCGAACCUGCGUCACCCAACUAGAGGAGGGAAGUGACUGUGGCAUCACUCUCAUGAUUGGCGGCCCCCCACCAGUGGUGGAGUGCUCCACCGGUCUUGUGUGCUCACGAGACACAAGAACUUGCGUGCCAGAGUCAGUGGCUGAAGAAGAAGAGGCCGAGGACGCGGAGUGAUGUGCCUAACUAAACGGGAAACCAAAAUAUGCUGCUGGUAACAAUGUUAACACUAACAACAAUGUUAAAUCUCUGUAAUUUUUUAAAAAGAGUGUAAAAAUAAACGAUAUUUUAAAGUUAUAA